rnacentral:tRNA from 1 species
UGGGUUGUGGCUCAGUGGUAGAGUGCUCACUUAGCAUGUGUGAGGCAUUGGGUUCAAUCCUCAGCACCACAU